rnacentral:lncRNA from 1 species
AUCAAAUACAGUGCAACCUGCAAAUCUUCCCUCGCAAUUCCCUCCGAUGGUACUGCUGAGAAAAGCUGAAAUUCUGGUGAACCUACAGCAGCAUAAGUUUUCCCCUCUUCAGACAGAACGAAAAUGAACUAGGAAAAAAAGUACCUUAGCAUCCACAAGUCGAAAUCCAUGGAGUCUGCGAAUAACAUUGACAAUGUCGUCAUGGCUAAAACCCAAAUCCUGAGC